UCAUUAUAUAAGUUAUCGUUUAUUUGAUAUUGCCUAUCCUACAUGGAUAACAGUGGUAAUUCUAGAGCUAAUACAUGCUGAAAAUCCCGACUUCGGAAGGGACGUAUUUAUUAGAAUCAGAACCAAUGCCCUUCGGGGUUUUCUGGUGACUCAUGAUAACUCCACAGAUCGCAUGGCCUUGCGCCGGCGAUGGCUCAUUCAAAUUUCUUCCCUAUCAACUUUCGACGGUACGGUCUUGGCCUACCGUGGUUGUAACGGGUGACGGAGGGUUAGGGCUCGACCCCGGAGAAGGAGCCUGAGAAACGGCUACUACAUCCAAGGAAGGCAGCAGGCGCGCAAAUUAUCCAAUCCCGACUCGGGGAGAUAGUGACAAUAAAUACCGAUACAGGGCUCUUUUGGGCCCUGUAAUUGGAAUGAGUACAAUUUAAACCUCUUAACGAGGAACAAUUGGAGGGCAAGUCUGGUGCCAGCAGCCGCGGUAAUUCCAGCUCCAAUAGCGUAUAUUAAAGUUGUUGUGGUUAAAAAGCUCGUAGUCGAACCUCGAGCCUGGCCGGCCGGUCCGCCUCACCGCGUGCACUGGUCUGGCCGGGCUCUUCCCUCUGCGGAACCGCAUGUCCUUCACUGGGCGUGUCGGGGAGGCAGGACUUUUACUUUGAAAAAAUUAGAGUGCUCAAGGCAGGCCAAUGCUCGAAUACAUUAGCAUGGAAUAAUAGAAUAGGACGUUGGUUCUAUUUUGUUGGUUUCUAGGACCGCCGUAAUGAUCAAUAGGGACGGUCGGGGGCAUCAGUAUUCAGCCGUCAGAGGUGAAAUUCUUGGACCGGCUGAAGACUAACUACUGCGAAAGCAUUUGCCAAGGACGUUUUCGCUGA
rnacentral:rRNA from 1 species